rnacentral:lncRNA from 1 species
AAAGACCUUGAAUUAGAUUCUUAGGUUCGGGAGGUACAUUAUACAAAGGGAAGGUGUUAGCACCCUUUGUAUCCAUGGUUAUCCAUGGGCUCUUAAUUGCUCAAUCAUUUAUGUUUUUCUAGUUUGAAAAAGUGGUUGAGAAAUGUGUAGGAAAUGUUUUGAAAAGGAGAAUUUAACUUUGUAAUGAUUCUUGAAUGAAUGUA